ensembl:lncRNA
CACACACACACACACACACACACACACUGCAUUUAAAUUAAACUACAUCUGUUUAAUAAUGAUGGCAUUUCUUAGAAUCAGUCAUAUUUCUCCUUUAAUAAAAUAUAAAAACAAAUAAAUACAGACACAGGAUCUUUUAAGGUGGUCACACUCUUCAGUCUCUCUAGAAACAUCUACACCAUGGUUCUCACAACGAGAGGCUGCCUGUUAGUCAGAUAUUUGACUGUGUCCUGUAGAGUGUCCUGUGGGGAAGAAGCUGGAAGUGUGAGCUAUCAGGUAUCAUACGUGUUGAUGGGCUGUUCAGAGUUUUCCUCACAUUACUGCAGACUCAUUCCUGAUAGGCUGAAGCUUUUCACCAAUUCUGUCCAUAACUUUUAUGUAAAUGAUUUAUAGAUGUGAGUUAAAGGCGUCACUUUUGGUUGUCUCAGCAUUCCACCACGUUCUAAAUUAUUAUGCAAAUGAUAUUUUUCUCUGAUUUUUUUCCUAAAUAGUCGAUUCAAAUGACAGUCAGCAUAAUUUUCGAGUCAUCAACCUUUACAGUAUAAUUCAAAUGUAACUCAACAAAACUGCCAAUGAAAACAGUAUGUUCUUCAAAAAUAAAAAACUUAAAAUGCACUGUUCCAAAUUAUUAUGCACACAGAGUUUCAAAAUAUUUUAUACAUUGUAGAGAAUUGAAAAUGGUCAUUUGUUGAAUUUGCAGCAUUAGGAGAUCAAUUUUACUGAUAUCAAAAGCAAUUUUAAUCAAAAACAUCUUAACAGGUCAAGUUACAUAUUAACAUAGGACCCCUUAUUUGAUAGCAGUUUUACAAUUCUUGCAUCCAAUCAGUCAAUCAAUCAAGGCUUUAUUCGCCACAUGCAGGUUGCCCUGCAGUGAAAUGGGACACCCCCCCCCCCGACCUUACACACACAACACAGACAUUACAUGGGGGUACAAGUCGGAGAUCGGUAGCAUUACAGAAAAAACAUUGAAAUAUACAUUACAAUGGGAAAGUACAAGAGGAAAAAAAGAGACCUCUACUCAUGCUGGGCUCCUGGGAGGACAGCAUGAGAACAGGAAACAAAAAAACUCCUCUGCACAAAAAGCACAUAAAUGUCCACAGCACAACAUUAUGGAACACGUGACAAGCCACAGGGAUGGGUAGGGGUUGAGGAGUAAUCCGAAGCAGACACAGCAGCUAUCCUGCCCAACGCUACCAUUCCAGCGCGGGCUCAGACCCGCCGUGUUCUCCAGGAGGGCACAAGCAUCGAAGGCGUUUGGAAAGGGAGGGGGGAUGAGUGAGUGCUUAUCAGUGUAUGUGUGUGUUUGCGUGUCUAGAGUUCAGCUGAGACAGUGUCCUUCGCCCUGCCAGGCUAAGUAAACAGUCUUCCAGCCAACCCAGGUGGCCUUGCAUGGAAUGGGAAGGAACAGACUCAACACAGUCGUUAUCAGGGAGUUUUUGUUCAGCUCCAGCCUUGAGACCGCAGCUGCCGCCGAAGGGAUAGCUGCCUUAUGAUGAUUACCCAUGGAAACAUCUGCCAUUACAAUUAUCUCAUGCACCUGCUCGCUGGACUUACCUGCAUACAGCUCAGCCACAGCUACGUUGCAGACUCCAUUCUGUUUCUCGCCUGCCCACCCCCGCUUCACUACCUGUGAUCUUGGAUCAAUUCAUACCAACAUUCACCCGGACCUCCGCAACCUCGCCUCGCCCUCUCACGUUCCUUCACCUGCAACAAAUGUCUCAGGCUACCGGCUCUAGCACCCCUGUGUCCUCAUCAACUUAUAAUAACUGAUAAUUCAUGCUCUAGCUCGAGAAUCUUGUUACGUCAUGUGCCUAUUACCCUGAUCGUAACCCAAGUUGGUAGUUAUAGUGUUUUCCUCUCAUCAUUGUAUAUAGCCUGUUGGCCAUGUUCACAGUUACAGUAUUAACUCACGCACAUGUAUAUAGCUCAUAGGUCUAAUAUUUAGCUCACGCCUUUGCAUAUAGUUCCCAGUCCAAUCUUCGCCAACGUGGGUAACUUGAUGAACUGGUGGGGAAGAGAUGACAAUGCUGGUCUUAAAUAUCCUUAGCAGACUGCUCCAGGUAAGGUGAUGACACCUCUGCCUCGGGCAGGUGCAGGAGAACAUGGACUCAGUGGAAUUUUCCAGCAGCUCACUAGGACUGUGAUAGUAUCCUAUUGUCAAUGGAAAAUUGUACUUAGUAGUCAGUAUAAGCUUUUAAUGAUAUAAGUUUACAUGUGAUAGAAUACUGCAUGAUGACCUUUUUAUGACUUAGACUGUUGUCCACUUUAAGAUUUGUUUCUGUUUUAUAAAUUCUUUCCCACAGCGAUAAUAGCUGAACAAGCAGUUUAUCUCCGACCAGGAAGAGGAGAGUUGGACACUUUUAUCUGCGCUCCCUAACAACAAGAGGGGCCGCGUCCUUCAGAAUCAUACACCUAACAUACGCACAUACAUACGCACCAACAUUCCUCUGUCUAUUCACUAUUGUAUUACUUUUGCAUAUAAAUAAAAACCAGGGCAGUGGCAGAGCGCUGAUCACAGGGCCCCCACUCUCGUAAUAUCUUUGGGCAAGAUACUAACCCCAAGUUGGCCUCCGAUGCAUUCAUCGGACUGUGAAUGUAGUUUAGUUUGCACUUGUGUUUAGAAGUGCUUGUAUGAGUGGGUGUGAAUGGGUGAAUGAGGCAUGUUGUAUAGAGCGCUUUGAGUACUCCAGGAGAGUAGAAAAGCGCUAUAUAAGAAUCAAUCCAUUUACCAAAACA